AUGCUCACUUUGGCAGGACACAAACUAACAUGGGAACAAUGCAGAGAAGAUUAGCUUGGUCUCUGCACAAGGAUGACACAGAAAUUUGUGAAACAUUCUAUAUAAUU
ensembl:snRNA U6 U6 spliceosomal RNA